GACGAACGCUGGCGGCGUGCUUAACACAUGCAAGUCGAACGGAAAGGCCCUGCUUUUGUGGGGUGCUCGAGUGGCGAACGGGUGAGUAACACGUGAGUAACCUGCCCUUGACUUUGGGAUAACUUCAGGAAACUGGGGCUAAUACCGGAUAGGAGCUCCUGCUGCAUGGUGGGGGUUGGAAAGUUUCGGCGGUUGGGGAUGGACUCGCGGCUUAUCAGCUUGUUGGUGGGGUAGUGGCUUACCAAGGCUUUGACGGGUAGCCGGCCUGAGAGGGUGACCGGCCACAUUGGGACUGAGAGACGGCCCAGACUCCUACGGGAGGCAGCAGUGGAGAAUAUUGCACAAUGGGCGGAAGCCUGAUGCAGCAACGCCGCGUGCGGGAUGACGGCCUUCGGGUUGUAAACCGCUUUCGCCUGUGACGAAGCGUGAGUGACGGUAAUGGGUAAAGAAGCACCGGCUAACUACGUG
rnacentral:rRNA from 1 species